GAUGAAGAACGUAGCGAAAUGCGAUAAGUAAUGCGAAUUGCAGAAUUUCCGUGAAUCAUCGAAUCUUUGAACGCACAUUGCGCCCUUCGGUAUUCCGUUGGGCAUGCCUGUUCGAGCGUCAUUUAAACCUUCAAGCUAUGCUUGGUGUUGGGUGUUUGUUCCGCCUCAGCGCGUGGACUCGCCUCAAAUUCAUUGGCAGCCGGUAUGUUGGCUUCGUGCGCAGCACAUUGCAAGCGAUUUUAGCAGACCCCCUUCCACAAGCCUUUUUUUACUUUGACCUCGGAUCAGGUAGGGAUACCCGCUGAACUUAAGCAUAUCAAUAAGCGGAGGA
rnacentral:misc_RNA from 1 species